UACGAAGGGGGCUAGCGUUGCUCGGAAUUACUGGGCGUAAAGCGCACGUAGGCGGCUUUUUAAGUCAGGGGUGAAAUCCUGGAGCUCAACUCCAGAACUGCCUUUGAUACUGAGAAGCUUGAGUCCGGGAGAGGUGAGUGGAACUGCGAGUGUAGAGGUGAAAUUCGCAGAUAUCAGGAGGAACACCGGUGGCGAAGGCGGGACUCUGGGCCGAUACUGACGCUGAGGCGCGAAAGCGUGGGGAGCAAACAGG
rnacentral:rRNA from 1 species